UUCCUACCUUCAAAUCCCGAGGAAAGUAAGAGAUUGAGCGGGUACCAGAUGAGAGGAAGAUUACCAACAGGAAGAAUUGAUUUGGGAAAAUUUUCAGUCAAAGGAUACAUUCUUGAACCACGACCUGCUGCCAUUAUUAUUGCUUGAAAUUCACACAUUUUCUACUACAAGAUUAGCUAUCUUUUGAUUAUAUGUUUUUAACGAUUAGUUUUGAAAAUAGUUAAAGAUAUAUUGUACACUUUUUUGAAAGAACUUCGAACAAGAACAAUCAUCAGCCAUAUUGGU